rnacentral:rRNA from 1 species
AUGCUCUACUCCGACUACUUCACUGAUGCUCCACUCCACGGCGAGAAAACAUUUCGGCGCCGUUAUCGGAUGAGCCGAAAGCUCUUCCUCAGGAUUGUGAAUUCCAUCCGGGAGUUCGACAACUACUUCAAGUGCAAGAUGGAUUGCACCGACGCUCUUGGAUUCACCUCCAUCCAGAAGUGCACGACAGCGAUGAGGAUGCUUGCAUAUGGAGCUCCCGGUGAUUCACUCGACGACUAUGGGCGCAUGGCCGAGUCCACCAGCAUAGAGUGUUUCUACAAGUUCUGUCGGGCAGUGGUGGUAGUGUUUGGACCACAAUACUUGAGAACACCCAAUGCGGAAGACACUGCUCGGAUCCUAGCACAGAAUGCAGCAAGAGGAUUUCCUGGGAUGCUUGGAAGCAUCGACUGCAUGCAUCAGAAAUGA